CCUACGGGAGGCAGCAGUGGGGAAUAUUGGACAAUGGGGGGAACCCUGAUCCAGCCAUGCCGCGUGUGUGAAGAAGGCCCUCGGGUUGUAAAGCACUUUCAGUGAGGAAGAACGCCUGGUGGUUAAUACCCAUCAGGAAAGACAUCACUCACAGAAGAAGCACCGGCUAACUCCGUGCCAGCAGCCGCGGUAAUACGGAGGGUGCGAGCGUUAAUCGGAAUUACUGGGCGUAAAGCGCGCGUAGGUGGCUUGAUAAGCCGGUAGUGAAAGCCCCGGGCUCAACCUGGGAACGGCAUCCGGAACUGUCAAGCUAGAGUGCAGGAGAGGAAGGUAGAAUUCCCGGUGUAGCGGUGAAAUGCGUAGAGAUCGGGAGGAAUACCAGUGGCGAAGGCGGCCUUCUGGACUGACACUGACACUGAGGUGCGAAAGCGUGGGUAGCAAACAGGAUUAGAUACCCUAGUAGUC
rnacentral:rRNA from 1 species